rnacentral:rRNA from 1 species
AACGGAAAGGCCCUGCUUUUGUGGGGUGCUCGAGUGGCGAACGGGUGAGUAACACGUGAGUAACCUGCCCUUGACUUUGGGAUAACUUCAGGAAACUGGGGCUAAUACCGGAUAGGAGCUCCUGCUGCAUGGUGGGGGUUGGAAAGUUUCGGCGGUUGGGGAUGGACUCGCGGCUUAUCAGCUUGUUGGUGGGGUAGUGGCUUACCAAGGCUUUGACGGGUAGCCGGCCUGAGAGGGUGACCGGCCACAUUGGGACUGAGAUACGGCCCAGACUCCUACGGGAGGCAGCAGUGGGGAAUAUUGCACAAUGGGCGGAAGCCUGAUGCAGCAACGCCGCGUGCGGGAUGACGGCCUUCGGGUUGUAAACCGCUUUCGCCUGUGACGAAGCGUGAGUGACGGUAAUGGGUAAAGAAGCACCGGCUAACUACGUGCCAGCAGCCGCGGUGAUACGUAGGGUGCGAGCGUUGUCCGGAUUUAUUGGGCGUAAAGGGCUCGUAGGUGGUUGAUCGCGUCGGAAGUGUAAUCUUGGGGCUUAACCCUGAGCGUGCUUUCGAUACGGGUUGACUUGAGGAAGGUAGGGGAGAAUGGAAUUCCUGGUGGAGCGGUGGAAUGCGCAGAUAUCAGGAGGAACACCAGUGGCGAAGGCGGUUCUCUGGGCCUUUCCUGACGCUGAGGAGCGAAAGCGUGGGGAGCGAACAGGCUUAGAUACCCUGGU